rnacentral:rRNA from 1 species
GACGAACCGUGCGAACGUUGUUCGGAAUCACUGGGCUUAAAGGGCGCGUAGGCGGGUCAGCCAGUCCGGGGUGAAAUCCUUCGGCUUAACCGGAGAACUGCCUCGGAGACGACUGAUCUGGAGGGAGGUAGGGGUCGCUGGAACUUCCGGUGGAGCGGUGAAAUGCGUUGAUAUCGGAAGGAACGCCGGUGGCGAAAGCGAGCGACUGGACCUUUACUGACGCUGAGGCGCGAAAGCUAGGGGAGCAAACGGG